GGGGCCGCCUGAACCCGCUCCGCCGGGCGCGGACCCUCCUCUCCCUUCGCCGUCCCCGCGGGAGGAGCGGCGAGAGGCUUUCGGCGAUGGCGUCGGGGGCUCGGAGGCGGCGGCGCCGCGGGUGGCAGAGCUGGAGGAAGGGCUGCGGGGUCGGGCGGAGCAGCGGAGCGCAGGCUCGAUGUUGUUGGAGUGCGGAGGGAAGACAGAGGUCAAAUAGCUGAUUAAGAAUUUGUGUGGUCUCUUGGAAACAUCUCCAGGUGUCGAAACCAGUUGCCAGCUUGGUUGUGGAAAGAGAAAAACAAAAAGCUGAAGUCAAGGACAGAAGAAUUUUAGAGAUUUUGUAAGCCAAAGGCAGCAAAAUAGAAUCUCUAGGACAGGUUUGUAUUGUGUUUAAAUAGAGCAGUUAAGAAAACUUCUCGUUGACAACACAUUUAUGUUUGUCAAAAUGAGAAAAUAGAUUGCUAUUGUGUCUUAAGAAAA